GACGAACGCUGGCGGCGUGCCUAAUACAUGCAAGUCGAGCGGACGGAUGGGAGCUUGCUCCCUGAAGUCAGCGGCGGACGGGUGAGUAACACGUGGGCAACCUGCCUGUAAGACUGGGAUAACUCCGGGAAACGGGGGCUAAUACCGGAUAACUCUUUUCCUCACAUGAGGAAAAGCUGAAAGAUGGUUUCGGCUAUCACUUACAGAUGGGCCCGCGGCGCAUUAGCUAGUUGGUGAGGUAACGGCUCACCAAGGCCACGAUGCGUAGCCGACCUGAGAGGGUGAUCGGCCACACUGAGACUGAGACACGUCCCAGACUCCUACGGGAGGCAGCAGUAGGGAAUCUUCCGCAAUGGACGAAAGUCUGACGGAGCAACGCCGCGUGAGUGAUGAAGGUUUUCGGAUCGUAAAACUCUGUUGUCAGGGAAGAACAAGUACCGGAGUAACUGCCGGUACCUUGACGGUACCUGACCAGAAAGCCACGGCUAACUACGUGCCAGCAGCCGCAGUAACAC
rnacentral:rRNA from 1 species